GGCGUUUUCAAAAGUGAGUGGGAAAUGAAAAUCUCCCGAUCGCAGCUAUCAAGUGGUGACUAAGAAUUACUGCAUGAUGUUAGGCCGUGUUCCAGCUUUUACGACCAGGCACACCAGCCAUGAAACUGUCACUGAUGCAGCACUUCAUAGGAAUUGUAAAAGAACCAAAGGUACUUAGAAGGCUGGUGAAGAUGAAAAGAUACCUGCAUGCAGCAUGAUAAUUGAAAAUUGCAAGUGAGCACUGUCUGAGAAAAUGGACAACAUCGGCCUUCGUGCAGUCAUCUGCUACUUUGGUCUCAAGGGCUUAUCACCCAAGGAGGUCCACAAGGACAUGGCGGCAACACAAGGAGAGGGUGAAAAAUAAAUGUGCUAGGUUUUCUAAAAUUGACUCUUUCUAUCUUAGGCCAC